rnacentral:rRNA from 1 species
GAUGAACGCUAGCGGCAGGCUUAAUACAUGCAAGUCGAGGGGUAGCAAGAUUGUAGCAAUACAAUUGUUGACGACCGGCAAACGGGUGCGGAACACGUACACAACCUUCCUACAAGUGGGGAAUAGCCCAGAGAAAUUUGGAUUAAUACCCCGUAACAUAGCGAUGUGGCAUCACAUUGCUAUUAUAGCUUCGGCGCUUGUUGAUGGGUGUGCGGCUGAUUAGAUAGUUGGCGGGGUAACGGCCCACCAAGUCUACGAUCAGUAGCUGAUGUGAGAGCAUGAUCAGCCACACGGGCACUGAGACACGGGCCCGACUCCUACGGGAGGCAGCAGUAAGGAAUAUUGGACGAUGGACGCAAGUCUGAUCCAGCCAUGCCGCGUGAAGGAUUAAGGUCCUCUGGAUUGUAAACUUCUUUUAUAAGGGACGAAAAAAGGUCUUUCUAGAUCGUCUGACGGUACCUUAUGAAUAAGCACCGGCUAACUCCGUGCCAGCAGCCGCUGUAACAC